rnacentral:rRNA from 1 species
UACGUAGGGUGCAAGCGUUAAUCGGAAUUACUGGGCGUAAAGCGUGCGCAGGCGGUUGUGCAAGACCGAUGUGAAAUCCCCGGGCUUAACCUGGGAAUGGCAUUGGUGACUGCACGGCUAGAGUGUGUCAGAGGGGGGUAGAAUUCCACGUGUAGCAGUGAAAUGCGUAGAGAUGUGGACGGAAUACCGAUGGCGAAGGCAGCCCCCUGGGAUAACACUGACGCUCAUGGCACGAAAGCGUAGGGGAGCAAACAGG